UGGGGAAUAUUGCACAAUGGGCGCAAGCCUGAUGCAGCGACGCCGCGUGAGGGAUGACGGCCUUCGGGUUGUAAACCUCUUUCAGCACAGACGAAGCGUGAGUGACGGUAUGUGCAGAAGAAGGACCGGCCAACUACGUGCCAGUAGCCGCGGUAAUACGUAGGGUCCGAGCGUUGUCCGGAAUUACUGGGCGUAAAGAGCUCGUAGGUGGUUUGUCGCGUUGUUCGUGAAAACUCACAGCUUAACUGUGGGCGUGCGGGCGAUACGGGCAGACUUGAGUACUGCAGGGGAGACUGGAAUUCCUGGUGUAGCGGUGGAAUGCGCAGAUAUCAGGAGGAACACCGGUGGCGAAGGCGGGUCUCUGGGCAGUAACUGACGCUGAGGAGCGAAAGCGUGGGGAGCGAACAGGAUUAGAUACCCUGGUAGUCCACGCCGUAAACGGUGGGUACUAGGUGUGGGUUUCCUUCCUUGGGAUCCGUGCCGUAGCUAACGCAUUAAGUACCCCGCCUGGGGAGUACGGCCGCAAGGCUA
rnacentral:rRNA from 1 species